CCUACGGGUGGCAGCAGUGAGGAAGAUGGGGCAAUGGGCGCGAGCCUGAACAAGCCAAGGAGCGGGAAGGAUGACUGCCCUAUGGGGUGUAAACUUCUUUUAUAUGGGAAUAAAGUGCAGCAUGUAUACCUCUUUGCAUGUACCUUAUGAAUAAGGAUCGGCUAACUCCGUGCCAGCAGCCGCGGUAAUACGGAGGAUCCGAGCGUUAUCCGGAUUUAUUGGGUUUAAAGGGAGCGUAGUCGGGUUGUUAAGUCAGUUGUGAAAGUUUGCGGCUCAACCGUAAAAUUGCAGUUGAUACUGGCAUCCUUGAGUACAGUAGAGGUAGGCGGAAUUCGUGGUGUAGCGGUGAAAUGCUUAGAUAUCACGAAGAACUCCGAUUGCGAAGGCAGCCUGCUGGACUGUAACUGACGCUGAUGCUCGAAAGUGUGGGUAUCAAACAGGAUUAGAUACCCUUGUAGUC
rnacentral:rRNA from 1 species